UACGUAGGGGGCAAGCGUUGUCCGGAAUACUGGGCGUAAAGCGUGCGCAGGCGGUGAUGUAAGACAGAUGUGAAAUCCCCGGGCUCAACCUGGGAACUGCAUUUGUGACUGCAUCGCUGGAGUGCGGCAGAGGGGGAUGGAAUUCCGCGUGUAGCAGUGAAAUGCGUAGAUAUGCGGAGGAACACCGAUGGCGUAAGCAAUCCCCUGGGCCUGCACUGACGCUCAUGCACGAAAGCGUGGGGAGCAAACAGG
rnacentral:rRNA from 1 species